rnacentral:rRNA from 1 species
CCUACGGGUGGCUGCAGUGGGGAAUAUUGCACAAUGGGCGCAAGCCUGAUGCAGCCAUGCCGCGUGUGUGAAGAAGGCCUUCGGGUUGUAAAGCACUUUCAGCGGGGAGGAAGGCGUUAAGGUUAAUAACCUUGGCGAUUGACGUUACCCGCAGAAGAAGCACCGGCUAACUCCGUGCCAGCAGCCGCGGUAAUACGGAGGGUGCAAGCGUUAAUCGGAAUAGCUGGGCGUAAAGCGCACGCAGGCGGUCUGUCAAGUCGGAUGUGAAAUCCCCGGGCUCAACCUGGGAACUGCAUUCGAAACUGGCAGGCUAGAGUCUUGUAGAGGGGGGUAGAAUUCCAGGUGUAGCGGUGAAAUGCGUAGAGAUCUGGAGGAAUACCGGUGGCGAAGGCGGCCCCCUGGACAAAGACUGACGCUCAGGUGCGAAAGCGUGGGGAGCAAACAGGAUUAGAUACCCGUGUAGUC